GAUGAACGCUGGCGGCGUGCCUAAUACAUGCAAGUCGAGCGAACAGACGAGGAGCUUGCUCCUCUGAUGUUAGCGGCGGACGGGUGAGUAACACGUGGAUAACCUACCUAUAAGACUUGGAUAACUUCGGGAAACCGGAGCUAAUACCGGAUAACAUGUUGAACCGCAUGGUUCAACAGUGAAAGACGGUCUUGCUGUCACUUAUAGAUGGAUCCGCGCCGCAUUAGCUAGUUGGUAAGGUAACGGCUUACCAAGGCAACGAUGCGUAGCCGACCUGAGAGGGUGAUCGGCCACACUGGAACUGAGACACGGUCCAGACUCCUACGGGAGGCAGCAGUAGGGAAUCUUCCGCAAUGGGCGAAAGCCUGACGGAGCAACGCCGCGUGAGUGAAGAAGGUCUUCGGAUCGUAAAACUCUGUUAUUAGGGAAGAACAAAUGUGUAAGUAACUAUGCACGUCUUGACGGUACCUAAUCAGAAAGCCACGGCUAACUACGUG
rnacentral:rRNA from 1 species